CCUACGGAGUGCAGCAGUGGGGAAUAUUGGACAAUGGGCGAAAGCCUGAUCCAGCCAUGCCGCGUGUGUGAAGAAGGCCUUCGGGUUGUAAAGCACUUUCAGUGGGGAAGAAAGCCUUGGGGCUAAUACCCUCGAGGAAGGACAUCACCCACAGAAGAAGCACCGGCUAACUCCGUGCCAGCAGCCGCGGUAAUACGGAGGGUGCGAGCGUUAAUCGGAAUUACUGGGCGUAAAGCGCGCGUAGGCGGUCUGAUAAGCCGGUUGUGAAAGCCCCGGGCUCAACCUGGGAACGGCAUCCGGAACUGUCAGGCUAGAGUGCAGGAGAGGAAGGUAGAAUUCCCGGUGUAGCGGUGAAAUGCGUAGAGAUCGGGAGGAAUACCAGUGGCGAAGGCGGCCUUCUGGACUGACACUGACGCUGAGGUGCGAAAGCGUGGGUAGCAAACAGGAUUAGAUACCCCUGUAGUC
rnacentral:rRNA from 1 species